rnacentral:lncRNA from 1 species
UCAGUGAGAGGCGGUUGUUUAAGGGUGUUGACCCAGUGCUCUCUGAUAGAGAGCGGAGCCGGUGACUACUGAUUAUGUUUCUUAUGCUGGCGAACUUUGGGUGGGUGACUCGUGAGCUUUUAAUUUUUAGCUCUUUUGUGAUGUUCAGUCUUCUGAUUGAAAAAGGCAAAUCGGAGCCUCCUUUUAUAUGCUUAAAUCAAAGCUGGCUUGUGUUUACUUUGGUGGGUGACCCGUGAGCUUUCGAUUUUGAGCUCUUUUGGGAUAUUCAAUCUUCUGCUUGACUAUAGGCGAAUUUGAGCCUCCUUAUAUAUGCUUAAAUCAAGGUUGGCUUUAGAUUGCUUUGGGGGGUGAGCCGUGAGCUUCCGAAUUUGAGCUAUUUUGUGAUAUUCAAUCUUCUGCUUGACUAUAGGCGAAUUUGAGCCUCCUUAUAUAUGCUUAAAUCAAGGCUGGCUUUAGUUUGCUUUCGGUGGGUGACUCGUGAGCUACUGAUUUUGAGCUCUUUUUCAUGUUCAAUCUUCUGCUUGAAAAAGGUGAAUCUGAGCCUCCUUUUAUACAUAAAUAAAUGUUGGGUUUAUUUUUACAUUCUGUGAAUGUUGUUCGUAUGUAAAAGGUCGGCUUUGGUGAAAGGCCAUUUGUGAGCAUCUAUUAUUGAGCUCUUUUCCAAUGUUCAAUCUUCUGCUUGAAAAAGGCGAAUAUGAGCCUCAUUUUAUGUGCUUAAAUCAAGGUCGGCUUUAGUUUUACAUUCGGUGAAUGUUGUUGGCAUGUGAAUAAAGUUUUGCAUAAUUUUAAUACUUGUUUCUCAUGUUGGCAACAACCCUUAUACCAAUAUAUCUGCUUUCUUCUUGUGUGUGUGAGUGGCUGUCUGGCGAGGUUUUGGUGGGUGACCCGUGAGCUUCUGAUUGUGAGCUCUUUUGGGAUAUUCAAUCUUCUGCUUGAAAAAGGCGAAUGUGAGCCUCCUUUUAUAUGCUUAAAUCAAGGUUGGCUUUAGAUUGCUUUUGGGGGUGACCUGUGAGCUUCAGAAUUUGAGCUAUUUUGUAAUAUUCAAUCUUCUGCUUGACAGUAGGCAAAUUUGAGCCUCCUUUUAUAUGCUUAAAUCAAGGNNNNNNNNNNNNNNNNNNNNNNNNNNNNNNNNNNNNNNNNNNNNNNNNNNNNNNNNNNNNNNNNNNNNNNNNNNNNNNNNNNNNNNNNNNNNNNNNNNNNNNNNNNNNUUAUAAAAAAAUAAAGGUUGGGUUUAUUUUUACAUUCUGUGAAAGUUGUUCGUUUGUAAAAGGUCGGCUUUGGUGAAAGGCCACUUGUGAGCUUCUAAUAUUGAGCACUUUUCCACUGUUCAAUCUUCUGCUUGAAAAAGGCGAAUAUGAGCCUCAUUUUAUAUGCUUAAAUCAAGUUCGGCUUUAGUUUUACAUUUGUUGAAUGUUGUUGGCAUGUGAAUAAAGUUUUGCAUAAUUUUAAUACUUGUUUCUCAUGUCGGCAACAGCCCAUAUGCCAAUAUAUCUGCUUUCUUUCUUGUGUGUGAGUGGCUGUCUGGCGAGGUUUUGGUGGGUGACCCGUGAGCUUCUGAUUGUGAGCUCUUUUGGGAUAUUCAAUCUUCUGCUUGAAAAAGGCGAAUGUGAGGCUCCUUUUAUAUGCUGCUUAAAUCAAGGGUGGCUUUAGAUUGCUUUGGGGGGUGAACCGUGAGCUUAUGAAUUUGAGCUAUUUUGUAAUAUUCAAUCUUCUGCUUGACAGUAGGCAAAUUUGAGCCUCCUUUUAUAUGCUUAAAUCAAGGCUGGCUUUAGUUUGCUUUCGGUGGGUGACUCUUGGGCUACUGAUUUUGAGCUCCUUUUUCAUGUUCAAUCUUCUGCUUGAAAAAGGUGAAUCUGUGCCUCCUUUUAUACAUAAAUAAAGGUUGGGUUUAUUUUGACAUUCUGUGAAUGUUGUUUGUUUGUGAAAGAUAGGCUUUGGUGAACUUUGGUGAAAGGCCACUUGUGAGCUUCUAAUAUUGAGCUCUUUUCCAAUGUUCAAUCUUCUGCUUGAAAAGGGCGAAUAUGGGCCUCAUUUUAUAUGCUUAAAUCAAGGUCGGCUUUAGUUUUACAUUCGGUGAAUGUUGUUGGCAUGUGAAUAAAGUUUUGUAUAAUUUUAAUACUCGUUUCUCAUGUUGGCAACAGCCUUUAUACCAAUAUAUCUGCUUCCUUUCUUGUGUGUGUGAGUGGCUGUCUGGCGAGGUUUUGGUGGGUGACUCGUGAGCUUCUGAUUUUGAGCUCUUUUGUGAUCUUCAAUCUCCUGCUUGAAAAAGGCGAAUCUGAGCCUCCUUUUAUAUGCUUAAACCAAAGCUGGCUUGAGUUUACUUUGGAUGGGUGACUCGUGAGCUUCUGAUUUUGAGCUCUUUUGUGAUCUUCAAUCUCCUGCUUGAAAAAGGCGAAUCUGAGCCUCCUUUUAUAUGCUUAAAUCGGGGCUGGCUUUAGUUUGCUUUCGGUGGGUGACUCGUGAGCUUCUGAUUUUGAGCUCUUUUGUGAUCUUCAAUCUCCUGCUUGAAAAAGGCGAAUCUGAGCCUCCUUUUAUACAUAAAUAAAGGUUGGGUUUAUUUUGACAUUCUGUAAAUGUUGUUCGUACGUAAAAGGUCGGCUUUGGUGAAAGGCCACUUGUGAGCUUCUAAUAUUGAGCUCUUUUCAAAUGUUCAAUCUUUUGAUUGAACAAGGCGAAUAUGAGGCGCAUUUUAUAUGCUUAAAUCAAGGUCGGCUUUAGUUUUACAUUCGGUGAAUGUUGUUGCCAUGUGAAUAAAGUUUUGCAUAAUUUUAAUACUUGUUUCUCAUGUUGGCAACAGCCCUUAUAGCAAUAUAUCUGCUUUCUUUCUUGUGUAUGAGUGGCUGUCUGGCGAAUUUUUGGUGGGUGACCCGUGAGCUUCUGAUUGUGAGGUCUUUUGGGAUACUCAAUCUUCUGCUUGAAAAAGGCGAAUGGGAGCCUCCUUUUAUAUGCUUAAAUCAAGGUUGGCUUUAGAUUGCUUUGGGGGUGACCCGUGAGCCUUUGAAUUUGAGCUAUUUUGUGAUAUUCAAUCUUCUGCUUGAGAGUAGGCAAAUUUGAGCCUCCUUUUAUAUGCU